CACNCNUGGGAGAGGCAGCAGUAGGGAAUANUGCGCAANAGNCANAAGUNUGACGCAAGACGCCGUGUGAGCGAUGAAGGUCUUCGGAUCGUAAAGCUCUGUCCUUGGGGAAGAAGGCGAAAGCUUGACGGUACCCAAGAAGAAAGCCCCGGCUAACUACGUGCCAGCAGCCGCGGUAAUACGUAGGGGGCGAGCGUUGUCCGGAAUUACUGGGCGUAAAGGGUGCGUAGGCGGCCCUUUAAGUCGGAUGUGAAAGCCCGCGGCUUAACCGCGGAAUGGCAUUCGAAACUGGAGGGCUUGAGUGUCGGAGAGGGUAGUGGAAUUCCCAGUGUAGCGGUGAAAUGCGUAGAUAUUGGGAGGAACACCAGUGGCGAAGGCGACUACCUGGACGAUAACUGACGCUGAGGCACGAAAGCUAGGGGAGCAAACAGGAUUAGAUACCCUGGUAGUCCUAGCCGUAAACGAUGGGUACUAGGUGUGGGUGGUUUCGAUACCAUCCGUGCUAGUUAACGCUAAGUC
rnacentral:rRNA from 1 species